rnacentral:rRNA from 1 species
UCCUUACUUGUGUCAAGUUGAGGAUAAAGGAUUGGAAAAUAAUGAUAGUACUUUCCUAUUAGUGUUGUCAAAAUACUGGUGCCAGAAGACUCGGUAAGGCCAGAAACGCUAACGUUAGUAGUCUUAAACAGGCGUAAAGGGUUCGUAGACUUCUUCGGAUUACUAUGUACUCCCUAAUUUUCAAUUAACUUAAAUAAUUUACUAUAAGUAAAUAUAUUGUUCUACUAUUUGUAGGUGAGCUUUUGGGUAAUUUUAUUAUAAGGUAAAUUAGGUAAAAAUAAAAAAGAAUUCUACAUAUUAUACCGGUAAUAUUUAAACAAUAAAUAGGAUAUUUUAUGUCUAAUUUAAUAUUAUUUUUAGAUAAGGCGUAGUAAUCAAAAACGAAGAUAGAAUUUUAUGCGAGGUACAUAAACAAAUGCUUUAAGUAAGGGUGAAAUCUUUAGAUCUAAAGUGGAAGACUAAGGGCGAAAGCUAUUUACCUAGUAAAAAUUGACGUUGAGGAACGUAGGUUAGGAUCGAAAAAAGGAUUAGAUACCCAAGUAUCCCUAUCUGUUAACGAUGAAUGGUUAGUUAUUCAGUUAAUAUAUAUCUUCGAAGAUAUAUAUCAUAAAACUGUGAAGCGUAGCUAACGCAAUUACCAUUCCGCCUUGUGAGUACGACUGCAAAGUUGAAAAC